UACGUAGGGUGCAAGCGUUAAUCGGAAUUACUGGGCGUAAAGCGUGCGCAGGCGGUUUUGUAAGUCUGUCGUGAAAUCCCCGGGCUCAACCUGGGAAUUGCGAUGGAGACUGCAAGGCUAGAAUCUGGCAGAGGGGGGGUAGAAUUCCACGUGUAGCAGUGAAAUGCGUAGAGAUGUGGAGGAACACCGGAUGGCGAAGGCAGCCCCCUGGGUCAAGAUUGACGCUCAUGCACGAAAGCGUGGGGGA
rnacentral:rRNA from 1 species